GCAGUCGAACGGCAGCGCGGGGCAACCUGGCGGCGAGUGGCGAACGGGUGAGUUAAUAUAUCGGAACGUACCCAGAAGUGGGGGAUAACGUAGCGAAAGUUACGCUAAUACCGCAUACGAUCUACGGAUGAAAGUGGGGGACCUUCGGGCCUCAUGCUUUUGGAGCGGCCGAUAUCUGAUUAGCUAGUUGGUGAGGUAAAGGCUCACCAAGGCAACGAUCAGUAGCUGGUCUGAGAGGACGACCGGCCACACUAGGACUGAGACACGGCCCAGACUCCUACGGGAGGCAGCAGUGGGGAAUUUUGGACAAUGGGCGCAAGCCUGAUCCAGCAAUGCCGCGUGAGUGAAGAAGGCCUUCGGGUUGUAAAGCUCUUUUGUCAGGGAAGAAACGGUUGGGGCUAAUAUCCCCGGCUAAUGACGGUACCUGAAGAAUAAGCACCGGCUAACUACGUGCCAGCAGCCGCGGUAAUACGUAGGGUGCGAGCGUUAAUCGGAAUUACUGGGCGUAAAGCGUGCGCAGGCGGUUGUGCAAGACAGAUGUGAAAUCCCCGGGCUUAACCUGGGAAUGGCAUUUGUGACUGCACGGCUAGAGUGUGUCAGAGGGGGGUAGAAUUCCACGUGUAGCAGUGAAAUGCGUAGAUAUGUGGAGGAAUACCGAUGGCGAAGGCAGCCCCCUGGGAUAACACUGACGCUCAUGCACGAAAGCGUGGGGAGCAAACAGGAUUAGAUACCCUGGUAGUCCACGCCCUAAACGAUGUCAACUAGUUGUCGGGGAUUAAUUUCCUUGGUAACGCAGCUAACGCGUGAAGUUGACCGCCUGGGGAGUACGGUCGCAAGAUUA
rnacentral:rRNA from 1 species